AGAGACACAGCUCUCCUCAAUUACCACAUUCAUUCACCUGCGCACACAGUAACCUUCGACUCAACAGGAACGACAUCAGAGGUGAGUCUCGUCGUGCUCCGGGAAUACAAGGUUCACUACAUAACCGAAGUGGUCCGCGGAAAAGAGCUCGUUGGCAAGAUCUACGACGUGGAUUUCAAGUGUACCAACGCUCAAGAGCUGUACAAGGAGGUGUGUCCGGAUGGAUGCGGUAUGAAGCCUAC